rnacentral:rRNA from 1 species
AUUGAACGCUGGCGGAAUGCUUUACACAUGCAAGUCGAGCGGCAGCACGGGGGCAACCCUGGUGGCGAGCGGCGAACGGGUGAGUAACACAUCGGAACAUGCCCAGUCGUGGGGGAUAACACUUCGAAAGAAGUGCUAAUACCGCAUACGUCCUGAGGGAGAAAGCGGGGGAUCGCAAGACCUCGCGCGAUUGGAGUGGCCGAUGUCAGAUUAGCUAGUUGGUGGGGUAAAGGCCUACCAAGGCAACGAUCUGUAGCUGGUCUGAGAGGAUGAUCAGCCACACUGGGACUGAGACACGGCCCAGACUCCUACGGGAGGCAGCAGUGGGGAAUUCUGGACAAUGGGGGCAACCCUGAUCCAGCCAUUCCGCGUGAGUGAAGAAGGCCUUCGGGUUGUAAAGCUCUUUCGGCAGGAACGAAACGGUGAGCUCUAACAUAGCUUGCUAAUGACGGUACCUGAAAAAGAAGCACCGGCUAACUACGUG